GGAUGUGAGGGCGAUCUGGCUGCGACACCUUUCACCCCAUUGAUCGCCAGGGUUGAUUCGGCUGAUCUGGCUGGCUAGGCAGGGGUCCCCUUCCUGCCUCACUGCUCCAUGUGCGUCCCUCCCCAAGCUGCGCGCUCGGUCGGUCUAAGAGGACGACCACCCCCGAUAGAGGAGGACCUUUUCCUCGGUCAAGGGUAUACGAGUAGCUGCGCUCCCCUGCUAGAACCUGCAAACAAGCUCUCAAGAGCUCUAAAGAUAUCCUUUAAUUCGUGUCACUACUUACACUAUACAACCUGUUAAAGGAAUUUAAAUG
rfam:Heterocephalus glaber contig115782, whole genome shotgun sequence.